GUGCUCAGUUCCGCAGUACAUACGCUAAAAUUGGAACAAUACGGAGAAGAUUACCAUGGUCCCUGCACAAGGAUGACAUGCAAAUUCAUGAAUUCGUCCAUAUUUUU